UUAGAUCAUAUGUCGUGUAAUUUACUGAAGGCUAAACCAAGUGAGCCCUAAAGUAAUUCUUAUAAUAGGGUUUUGAAAACUCAAAUACAAAUUUGUAAUAUAGAUAUUCAUGUUAAGAUUGUUUUAGACUUCUUCACACGAAAUCGUAUUGCUUUCUACUAGCUUUCUCUAAAACAAUUAUAAAAUCAUCUGAAUUAGUGUAUUAUUGAUAUUUUUAUGAAUUAAGAGUCAAGGAAAUAAAGUUUCAUAUUUGAGAAACAUUGUUGGAAGAAUGAAUAAGAAAACUAAAAAAUAUCAUUCAGUGGAUAUGUUUUAAUAAUUCAUUAGGUAAUAACCCGCGCCUUGCAUGAGAUAUGAUUAUUAGUUUCGUUAUUUUUGAUAAAAAAGACAUUAAAUCUGUUUAAUUUAGAUAUUGGUCCGGUUUUAAGUUUUUUUUUUUGUUUUUAAUCUUCUAAAAUAUAACUAUUAUUUUAAAUUAAUAUUCAUUUUAGUUUAUUCGGUUAAAAUGUUUGAUUUUUUGGUUUUUUCCGAUAAAAACGAAAGAUUAAUAUUAUUUUUUUAUUUUUCAUGCUUAUGAAUUUUAGAUAGUCGUCAUGUCGAACCAAUAGUUUCGUACUAUAGUUUCGAAACAGAUAAUAGUUUAAGAAAAAGAAAAAAAAAUUAUUAAGAUAAAUCAUUUCACUACAAUUUGGUCGGUAGUGAAAGAAGCAUUAAGAAAAAAUAUUCAACUUUCAAAAAAAUUAGAUAAAAAAUUAGAUACUUCAGUUGUGGUGAAUACUUAGACCAUCUUUAACCUUAGUUUCUUAACUGAGGUUAUUAGCUUCUACUAAGAGAUGGUUCUUAGAUUUUCUUAUAUUUUAACUAAGAAAAGUUAAGAAAUGCCUUUUAAAUAAGAGAUAUAAGAGCCGUCUCUUAGCCGAAAAGUGUAAAAAAAAAUAAACAAAAAAGUGUCAAAUCAUGAAUUAAGAACCCCGGCUAAGAGACUGAGGUUAAUGAUGCCCUUAGUUACAAGGUGCUCAUAUCAAGGUGCACAUGUAUAUGUAUGUAAAAAGUAUAUAAAAAUAGUUGACAAAUAUAUAAAGAUAUUGUUAAUUAAUACUAAAUGACAUUUUUGUUCAAAAUAAUACAUGAAAGAUAAAAUUAAAAUUAAUUUAUAAUAGAAAAAGGCCUUGACAUUAGUCAUUUUUUACAUAUAAAGAAAAUAAAAUUGUAUAUGUAAAUAAGGGUGGGC
rnacentral:lncRNA from 1 species